rnacentral:lncRNA from 1 species
GGCCUAAUCCUUUCUAAUCAUGCAAUGAUUUUCAUAUUCAAUUUUUUUUGUUAUGACUCAAGAAAAUGGGAGAAUCAAUAAACAACAAGAAACCACACAUAAAGACUCGACAACACAUGCAUUUACUCUACUAACAACAACUAAUAAACGUGCAAAGUCUUAAUAAACUAGAAAAAAAAUGAUAAACCUAACUAAAAAGCAAUAAAAUUCCUCCCCCAUACUUAAACCAAACAUUGUCCCCAGUAUUUUUAUCAAAGUAGGAAAAGAAAGAAAGAACCUGGGAUGGGGUGGCUCAGCGACAACCACAACUUCGGUUCCAACCAUGCCUUUCACGACCAUGAAGCUGAGGAGGUGACACUCCUACAUGAU